rnacentral:tRNA from 1 species
GGGUGCGUAGCUCAGCUGGAUAGAGCAUCUGCCUUCUAAGCAGACGGUCGCAGGUUCGAAUCCUGCCGCGCUCA